CGCUUUUUGUUUUUGGCGAAUGCUUAGAAGCUUCAAGUUGCGGACACUGCGGUGGGCCAGGGCUUGAUGACAUUUGUUGCCCAGCUGCUGGUGCUACCGCGACGUACUUGGAGCAACGCUUCUGCUUAUUUCCUCUGCCUGCACCUUAUAUUUGUUGUGUUUAUCGAGACCUGGCCUGUCUCUGCCUCGUUGAAGACAAAUGGACACAAGUACUGGUUGCUGUUGGUUUGCUCAGUCUGAGCGUGAUAAGGGAGGCAGCUUUUGCAUCUGCAACAGAACAUCGGUGGAUGUUGUGUGAAGCACUUUUUCCAUGCUUUUUCACUACCUGAGCAAGGUAUCUUUCUUGGUGCUUCAUCAUGCAAUUUAUACAGUCAACUUCCAUUAAUUCUACCCUCACGAGACUGACGGGUCGAAUUAAGACGCAAAAACCUGCUGAAGCACCGUUGAUUCAUUUGGCAAUAUGUGCUUGAGUAACACGCCUCUGAAACGAACGUGCAUCAUAUUUCUAUUUGUCCACAGUAUAAAACUGAAGUAGAAAUGACUUAACUCCAAACCAAAGUAGAAACCUACGCGUACCUGAUUUUUUAGAAUGGCAGCUGAUUUUCUAAAGUCAGCUUCGCCGUAUUACAGCCAUGAUAUGCGGUAAAGCGUAUGAAUGCUACAACCACUGUUUUAGUUUCGCAAUCGGUUGCACAGCUAGGCAAUUUUUGUCUCAAUGCCCUUCGAAAACAAAAAGUGUUCGUUAGAAUCAGAUAAGUUACCACAAUAGGACAUUGUCAGCUACCGUUACUGCUUGAAAAUCUUUCUCGGGUGGGUCAAAAAUAGGCAUUUCAGAGAGGAGAUGGCAUUUGUUUAACGCAUCCGGCGAAUGCCAGUUUUAGGAUCGAAAUAAUGACUGUUUAAUCCCAUAGAAAUGCAUGGGUGUCGGCCAGGAUCGAAAUAACUCAAAAAAUUAAAUGAACCAGAGUCAGAUUAUUGGAAGUUUACUGUACGCCUUUUUCUGUUCUCGAAGAAGUUGUCAUUUUAAUAUGUAGUUUUCUUCUAUCAGUGUGGCAAUGGUGCUAAAUUUAGCAUUUGUUUGAAUCAUCCAUUGUUCCAAGGACAAGCUACAAAGUAGGGGCACACUUUGAGACUUGAAGCAUUUCCACAUAUAAAGGCAGGGCAUGUUAACAUCUGUACAAUUAACAUAAGUUGGCUGUAUUGUCUGCAUAGCAUGUUGCUUUUUUGAAAUGUGGUCUUUCUGUAAAAUAAAGUUGCAUUUGUUUCAAAUAAAUUGCUG